rnacentral:piRNA from 1 species
UGGAAUGAGAAUGUGUCUCCCC